GAUGAACGCUGGCGGCGUGCCUAAUACAUGCAAGUCGAGCGAACGGACGAAACACUUUCUUUUCUUAUGUUAGCGGCGGACGGGUGAGUAACACGUGGAUAACCUACCUAUAAGACUGGGGUAACUUCGGGAAACCGGUGCUAAUACCGGCUAAUAUUUUGAACCGCAUGGUUCAAAAGUGUAAGACCGUCUUGCUGUCACUUAUAGAUGGAUCCGCUCUGCAUUAGCUAGUUGGUAAGGUAACGGCUUACCAAGGCAACGAUGCAUAGCCGACCUGAGAGGAUGAUCGGCCACACUGGAACUGAGACACGGUCCAGACUCCUACGGGAGGCAGCAGUAGGGAAUCUUGCGCAAUGGGCGAAAGCCUGACGCAGCAACGCCGCGUGAGUGAUGAAGGUCUUCGGAUCGUAAAACUCUGUUAUUAGGGAAGAACAGAUUUGUAAGUAACUGUGCACAUCUUGACGGUACCUAAUCAGAAAGCCACGGCUAACUACGUG
rnacentral:rRNA from 1 species